ensembl:lncRNA
UUUUCACCCUUCACUCGACUGCUGUACAAGAUGAAGUUGAAAAAGGACAUCUGCUGUACAUAUAGAAACUCCCACCUGCUAAACAUCAACACACUCGGAGAACAGGGGCAUCUGGACGAGGGCCGGCUCCACAAAGGACCGCCGGAAAGGAACAGUGAGCCGGAGCCCCUCUGUCAGCCCUGCCGAGAGGCACUGUCACCGUCAGCUCACACUAAACAUCUAAGAGCUCCGAUUCAACAGAUGACUGUGUGCUUGAACACAAACAUAGAAGAAAAAGAGCGACCUUUCAGACUGACAGACUACAGGAGAAGACAAGAGGAGAUGCUAGAAGUCUGCAGAGAUACGUGAUCCCCAUCACACAUGGAGCCAGCGCUGUCAUACAGUCAUCAGUCAUCGAUAGCCACCCAUUAAAGGGUUCGCCGAACCUUUGCAUCUUCAUUCUUUGAACGCAUUCAUAGAUAUAUGAGUAACGGGAAAAUGUAACCUGAUGAAUCCUAAAUUAAACUUAAUAAAAUUUGGGUCAGUUUCUCACACAAAGAUAUCAUACAUCUUCAAAUUUCAAUAUGAAAAAUAGUUCCCGUUUAUGAUACUUUCUAUGUGCUUUUUGGAGCCUGAACUAUCAUUCACUUUGAUUUAGCAAAGAGCAGUGUAAACAUGCUGAUGUGUUUCUCCUUUUGUGCAAGAGUUUGGAAAUGUUCUUUUAUUAAAAGGUGGCAGCAGAAAUGUUGUCAUUAAACUCUAAAAGACUAUAUUUACAGGAAAUCUAUUUCUGCCCAGGAUUAGAGUUAUUUUCCAGUCAUACUUCAGAUUGGGCCAUGGUGUGGUUACAUAACACGGCCACAACCGUCUUUCUUCACAUUGAUUAUGGAAACAAAAGGGCAUCAUGCACUGGACACAAAUGCCAUGCCAUGCUGUUUUACUGGGAUUAGAAACAGCUUCUGCCAUGGUGGGCUCCAAUCCCACAAAAUGCGAGCACAUGGUUCCCAUUGAGGUUUAAAGCAGACCAGGAGGGUUAUGCUGCUGUUCCUGGCCUCAUGGUGUGAAGUGAAUGCCUUCAGGUCCAGAGGAAUACUGCUGACCCAAGUGCUCUGGACCAACAGGGUUAAGGUCCAGGGACAGCAGAGCUGCUUGGAGGCAGCAGUCGUGCUCCUGUGUUGAUGGAGUGGCCCGACUCAGAGCUCCCACAAACAGACGAUAGGUGAGGGGAUAUGAAACGGUGUUGAAAUGCAGCGGAUUUGGGUUUUCAGAGCUCACCUGACAUUGGUGAGACACCAGAGAAGGGAAUACCUUUGAAACAAGAGAAAGCAGAAGAGAGAAAGUUAAAGAUGACAGGAGGACUGUUGAAGGAGAGCAGGAUGGUGGGAAACGAG